UUUUUUUUUGUUUGUUUUUGUUUUUUUUUUAAAAAAAGUUCUAUGUGGAAAUGAGCGGGACAAUGAUAAAAAUAAACAUAAUUAAAAUUCCAAACCAAAACACAGCUCUUGGCCCUGUCCCCAAUCAGUCCUCCAAGACCACAAUCUCCACAUUGUGGACCUGAUGCUGGUGUUCUUCCAUUUCGGCUACCACUUUCUCCUCAGUCCUCAGCCCUGUCUCCAAGAUGACUGCUUUGCCCUCAGUGUCGUCAGCCUCGGAGUCUGGGGCAGGGUCGAUUUCAAUGAUGGUCUGCCCAUCCUCAGAGGUGCUUUCAACAGCCUGGAUUGCUGACGUCAGGCCGGACUCCAUGGCCACCAGCUCCAUGGGGCUCACCAUGGUGGCCAUGUUGCCCAGGGAACUCCCAUCCUGCAUAGAGGUGGAGCUUAGCAGUGCCAAACUUGAGGAAGGGUGGAUGGUCACUGUGUCUGGUGAGUUGCUCUUGGCAGAGGAAACCACCGUGGCAUAGCGGAAGAGCUGAGGGCCAGAAGGCAGUGUGUGGACAGUCACAGGACUGGAGCCCUGGCUGAGGGUAGCCACUGGGAUGUUGCCCAUGGAGAAGGACUGGCCCACAGGAGUAAUGGUGAUGGGAGAGAUGACAGUAAACUGAGGCUGCUGGACGGGAGAAGGGCUCAGGACGGUGGUGGAGGCUGGCCGCUGGAGCCGGGGUCUUUUUGG
rnacentral:lncRNA from 1 species